GGAAAUCCUCUCUGUUCGUUAGCAGUGAGGCAGGAAUGGCAGAGUUUUGAGAUGUGGAUUCACUCAGUUAUGAGCGGAGUGAUCAGGACUCUGUGUUUGCUGUCCUUCUUUGAAGGAUGAUGAAAAACUUGCUGCCGUUCCUGCUCCUCGUUUCCCAGCAUGCCCUAGCUGUGGUGGUGGAGGUAAAUGAGGGGGCAGAGUCUGUCCUACUGCCCUGUGAGUUCUCAGGUUUAAUACCUGAGAAUGACUCCACCGUGAUGUGGACUCACGAAGAUCUUUAUAACAAAUCUGUCCACCUACGACUAAAAGAAGGAGAUGAUCUUGGAGAGCAAAACCAGCGUUACAGCGGGCGCACAUCGAUGAGGCCUGAUGCUCUGAACACUGGAAACUUCAGCCUCACUCUGAGAAAACCACAACUGACUGACAGCGGCAACUACACCUGCUCCAUCGGUGAUGGAAUAGAAGAAAGGAGACUGAAAAAUGUACAGCUGCAGGUCAAAGAACAGUUUCCAUCCUGGGCCACAGCUCUCCUGGUUCUCCUGGUUCUCCUUGUUCUUCUUGUGGUUUCUGGAGGUCUUCUUUUUUAUUUCCGGCACUAUUUCAUGUCAGAUUAUAAGGUGGAGGUGCAGUGUUUUCAAAUAAUGUUUCCUCAGGAAAGUAUCUAUACAGUAAAAAGUCCCAGCAUAGAACCCUGUGUAACUGUGUGAUUUAGUU
ensembl:lncRNA